rnacentral:misc_RNA from 1 species
CUGAGUCGUCGACACGAGUUGUUGCUGGUCCCUGAACAGGGGACACGUGCACGCUCUGUUUACACAUCCACUCACACCUGUGCACCCUCUGUAGUUCUAUGGUCUGGGGGGCCCUGCCUCCCUUCCGUGGUUCUGCAUCUUUACACAUACACUGUAACAAAGUUUAUGGAAUGUACAUCGCGUUUAACGCAAUACAAUA